rnacentral:rRNA from 1 species
UCGGGUGAGUACUAGUGGCGCACGGGUGAGGAACGCGUGGAUAAUCUGCCUUAGAGUGGGGGAUAACUAGUCGAAAGAUUAGCUAAUACCGCAUAAGACCACAGGAGCUGCGGCUCUAGGGGUCAAAGGUUUUUCGCUCUAAGAUGAGUCCGCGUAAGAUUAGCUAGUUGGUGAGGUAACGGCUCACCAAGGCGACGAUCUUUAACUGGUCUGAGAGGAUGAUCAGUCACACUGGAACUGAGACACGGUCCAGACUCCUACGGGAGGCAGCAGUAGGGAAUAUUGCACAAUGGAGGAAACUCUGAUGCAGCGACGCCGCGUGAGUGAUGAAGGCCUUCGGGUCGUAAAGCUCUGUCGCAGGGGAAUAACACAAUGAAUGUACCCUGUAAGAAAGGAUCGGCUAACUUCGUGCCAGCAGCCGCGGUAAGACGAGGGAUCCUAGCGUUGUUCGGAAUUAUUGGGCGUAAAGCGGAUGUAGGUGGCUUUGUAAGUCAGAUGUGAAAGCCCAGGGCUCAACCCUGGAAGUGCAUUUGAUACUGCGAAGCUUGAGUGUCGGAGAGGUUACUAGAAUUGUUGGUGUAGUGGUGAAAUACGUAGAUAUCAACAGGAAUACCGGAGGCGAAGGCGGGUAACUGGCCGAACACUGACACUGAGAUCCGAAAGCGUGGGGAUCAAACAGGAUUAGAUACCCUGGUAGUCCACGCCGUAAACGAUGGAUACUUGUUGUUGGAGGUAUUGACCCCUUCAGUGACGAAGCUAACGCGUUAAGUAUCCCGCCUGGGGAGUACGGUCGCAAGAUUAAAACUCAAAGAAAUUGACGGGGGCCCGCACAAGCGGUGGAGCAUGUGGUUUAAUUCGAUGCAACGCGAAGAACCUUACCUAGGCUUGACAUGUACUGGAAGACUGGCAGAAAUGUCGUCGCUCGCAAGAGUCGGUACACAGGUGCUGCAUGGCUGUCGUCAGCUCGUGUCGUGAGAUGUUGGGUUAAGUCCCGCAACGAGCGCAACCCCUGCAUUUAGUUGCCAGCAUUCAGUUGGGCACUCUAGAUGGACUGCCGGUGUUAAACCGGAGGAAGGU